rnacentral:rRNA from 1 species
ACGGAAGGCAGCAGUGGGGAAUAUUGGGCAAUGGGGGAAACCCUGACCCAGCAACGCCGCGUGAAGGAAGAAGGCUUUCGGGUUGUAAACUUCUUUUAACAGGGAAGAUAAUGACGGUACCUGUUGAAUAAGCCACGGCUAACUACGUGCCAGCAGCCGCGGUAAUACGUAGGUGGCAAGCGUUAUCCGGAUUUACUGGGUGUAAAGGGCGCGUAGGCGGGAGUGCAAGUCAGAUGUGAAAUCCAUGGGCUUAACCCAUGAACUGCAUUUGAAACUGUGCUUCUUGAGUGUCGGAGAGGUAGAUGGAAUUCCUAGUGUAGCGGUGAAAUGCGUAGAUAUUAGGAAGAACACCAGUGGCGAAGGCGAUCUACUGGACGAUAACUGACGCUGAGGCGCGAAAGCGUGGGGAGCAAACAGGAUUAGAUACCCUGGUA